rnacentral:rRNA from 1 species
UACAGAGGUCUCAAGCGUUGUUCGGAUUCAUUGGGCGUAAAGGGUGCGUAGGCGGCGCGGUAAGUCGGGUGUGAAAUCUCGGAGCUUAACUCCGAAACUGCAUUCGAUACUGCCGUGCUUGAGGACUGGAGAGGAGACUGGAAUUUACGGUGUAGCGGUGAAAUGCGUAGAUAUCGUAAGGAAGACCAGUGGCGAAAGGCGGGGU